AGGGACUGCAGCGAUUAGUGCCACUAUCAAAGACUUGAAAGUCAGAGGUCGUGAAUCCUUCCAUUUUUCUGUUUAACUUGCCUGUGUGGCCUGCGCAGAAGACAGACGGAUUUGGGGAACAACAGUGGAUUCUUGUAAACUCAAUCAGAUGGUGACCUCAGUUGUGGUUACUAGUCUAGAUGCAUGUUCUUCUCACAUCCUCUGGUAUGCAGCUAGCAAGCUCCUCAACCUAUUAAUAAAGAUCACCAGAAGCGGUUUGCCUUCAGCCGGCAGGGCCAGUGCUGUGCCUUCACUGAACUGACCUAGGGUGACAGCAGCUCUCUGUCCUCUGUCAUCAUCUCACCCUCGUCUCUCCGUCCCGCAGGGCAUCACACUGGACAUCGCAUCACGCUGACUGGACCUAGUGAGCAGGAGGCGAGUUGGAGAGAAACCGACCCAAACGCUUCAGUAAGACAAAUGUGCAACCGACGGCAGAAAUAGAUCCCACAAAAACUCAGGAGGCUUUUAUCUUGGUGAAAACGUCUAGGAGUCCAGGGCUCCAAAACACGUUGAGAGAGAAGUUUCUGCAUCCAGCACUUUCUCCACUAAGAAGGAAACGCAGAAUCUAAUGGGCCUUUUUAGAUUUUGAAGGCAACGUAUACUUCGUUUGAUCACGUCACUCUGACCCAUGUGUUGAGCCACCCCAAAGGCCACCAGUUUUGAGUGGGUCUCAUAGCAAAAGAAGGCUCUAUAGUAGAUGGCUAUGAAAGCUGUGCUGCCACUUUGUCCUUGUGAGAAAGUAUGCUUCCGUGACACUUGGUGUGUCUCUGACAUAUAAGGUGCCAUAAAGCUGGGCGUGGACAGCGUUCCGUAUCGGAUGAGAGUGAAAUGGACACUGCUGGGCUUGAGCAGGUCCUGAAGGCACAUGUGAGUUACACAAGCAGCGGCUCAGGCAGCACGGCCAGCUCUGGAACCUUCCACGUGCACUUUUAGGCCAUCGUGAGGGAUGCGGCUAUGCUUCCCCAGACAGGAGGAGCCCUCGUGCACACUGGUCUUGGCGGAUUGGAAGUGGCAGAAAGUGCUCUGCGGCACACUAAGCCUCAGUUAGAAGUGCUUCGUCUGACUUUCGAGAAGCCUGCAGGAAAGCCUGGCGUGGAGGAAUGCAGGGGAGAUGGCUGGCAUCUGGACGUUCCUUCCACAUGAUGGCACACAUCUGGCUCUUUGGGGCCAGUGGAACAUUCCCCUUCCAGUUUCCCUCCAGAUGUUUGAGGAUAUGAAGAUACAGCCCAAGGGGUGAGCAAUUUAUCAAGCUUCACUGAUCAAUUACAAGCCGGCACGCAGCAGAGCCCUCGCUGGAUUUCUUAUGCUCAUUGUGUAUAAAUGCCCAGGCUGUUUCACGCAGACACACCCUGCACAACAGGCCUUCAGUCAAACAGACGGUGGACUUUUUCAUCCCCUCCUCCUUGUAUGCACACACCUCAGGGGCCCAGAACUAAGUGAGCGAUUGGUGCACAUGUGCAAGUGGACAUCCUGGAGCCCACAGAUUGGUGGGCGGUUAUUUGGCUUCUACAGAAUCCACAGUAAGUUAAUACCAUUCAAAUUCCUGCCCAGCUGUGCUAUGCCUUCUCAAGUUUGCUGAAAUUGAAUUCAAACGCCAAAAACAUAUGCUGGCCGGGCUCAAAGAGCAACUGCUGAUUGCAAACACCUGCUUAUCAAUGCCUAAGACAUUCUGGGUGACUUUGGGGUUGUUAAUUAAGUGAGGUAAUCACAAGAAAUAUCAUUCAAACUCCUUGCCCUUGCACAUGAACGCACA